ACGGGGUGCAGCAGGCGCGAAACCUCCGCAAUGUGAGAAAUCGCGACGGGGGGAUCCCAAGUGCCAUUCUUAACGGGAUGGCUUUUCAUUAGUGUAAAGGGCUUUUGGAAUAAGGGCUGGGCAAGACCGGUGCCAGCCGCCGCGGUAACACCGGCAGCUCUAGUGGUAGCAGUUUUUAUUGGGCCUAAAGCGUCCGUAGCCGGUUUAAUAAGUCUCUGGUGAAAUCCUGUAGCUUAACUGUGGGAAUUGCUGGAGAUACUAUUAGACUUGAGACCGGGAGAGGUUAGAGGUACUCCCAGGGUAGAGGUGAAAUUCUGUAAUCCUGGGAGGACCGCCUGUUGCGAAGGCGUCUAACUGGAACGGUUCUGACGGUGAGGGACGAAAGUUAGGGGCGCGAACCGGAUUAGAUACCCGGGUAGUCCUAACCGUAAACGAUGCGGACUUGGUGUUGGGGUGGCUUUGAGCUGCUCCAGUGCCGAAGGGAAGCUGUUAAGUCCGCCGCCUGGGAAGUACGGUCGCAAGACUGAAACUUAA
rnacentral:rRNA from 1 species